GGAUACAUUUAUUAAAAAUAGAACGUGUAGCAGUUUUCUCCUAUACACGUGUGAAUAAACAAAGAUAAUGGCUAGACACUGCAAAUCAAAAUAUGAAAAGGCCACUUCAGCACCAGUCAAAGGAUAUAUUUCUCACGCCAAAAAUGAAUUGAGAUAGUCACUUAGGACCAUAGACCGUUUUGUUGGUUCACAUUUAUUAUCAAUAGAAGGAGAAUUGAAAAUGGCUAGAUCAUUACAAGCUAAAAAAAAUCAAGAAUAUAAAUCAAAAAAUGAUAUUAAAUCGAACAAUAGUUCUGAUAUGAUGUAAUUAAACAAAUAGGGAAAUUGAUAAAAACAGCAAUAUGAACUAAUGACACAAGAAAAUUGGAGAAAUAAAUUAGACCGACCUAUCAAAAUCAAAAAAGAGAAAAAAGUUUCAAACGAUUUUCGAAAUAUACAAGUCCAUGUUCAAUUAUUCGUCAUGUACUAAAUACUUCAGGAUUACAAUAAA